UAACGUUACAUGUAACACCGGAUUAUUACUGUUAUUAUUGCGAUAACUCCAAAGUCUGGAUUUUAGAUGAUUUUUAAGAAAUGUAGGUUAAGUGACAAUAACAUUCAGUCACUCACUUUGCAAUUCUGACGAUCAAGCUAGGGUGUAUUUUACUCUCAACAUGCCUGUUGCUCCUAAGGCCAUAUAUGAAAUACAGUAUAGAGGUGUAAAAAGGGGGUUAACCUCUUAACACGCCCUGGCCCGCCGGCGGGCCAGAAAAAUAUCAUAUUUAAUAUCUGGCUGUGUUUAUGAAUACUUAUAGGUUCAAUAUAGACACCCAAUAUGCCAUUUUAAAUCUUUUCAGUUAUCUAGCCUAUUUAGCCGUAUCUCCUUUCAGAAAAUAAACAUUUAGGGCGAAAUAUGCCUAGUUUAUGAAAGUUAUGAAAUUAUCUUCAUGCUUUAGAUUCCAUUUGUGUUUUUAUUCGAACUCUUCUGAGCUCGUGAGUGGCAGCAGCAGCGGCGACUCUUCGACGGAAGGACACUCUACAACUCUUAAACACCAUUUUACUGUUUUAUAUUCACUGUUUUAAUAUCUGUAUUAUCUUUUAAUUACUGUAUAAUUGUAUUAUCCUUACUGUUUUUCACUUUUUGCUAAUUAAUUGUAUUUUUGUUUUUCAUUUUACUGUAGCCGCUGAGGGAGCUCACCCCCAUACCGAUCAGGUAUGGAUCCCCAGUGGAGGAGCAGAACUCUUCCAACAGUGGUGCAGUCAGGAGACUUUUCUUUCAGGACUGGUCCUGUGUCUGUGUGGCAGGGUGAAGAGCCAGCCGCCUGGGAGGAGCCCCCGCCGUGUCAGCCCGGGUCUCUCGAGAUGAAGCGGAGGGCCCACAUUAAAAUGCUGAGAAAAGCACAAUAAACAAUUAAAGUUGGAUAGAAGGUCAGCUGGAGGGACUCCUGCCCACCUCCCACCCAGAGUCUCCAUUGCUUUCAACCACACCUGCAAGGUAUGGCUGCAAGACUCUGGUGGCGAUUGCGGAGGCAGAACCCUGGAACAGGCUGGACACUACUGGUACAGUUGCACAGUGUGAGGAAGCCCGGAUCCCGUCCCUCACCACCACCUACCCCCCGGAGACUUUCAGCCAGUAAGA